AUGAAGUCAGCUGCUCUCCUGCUAUGGGUUCUGCUGCUCUGGGUACCAGACUCCACUGGGGACAUUGUGCUGACCCAAUCUCCAGUUUCUUUGGCUGUGUCUCUGGGACAAAAAGUCACCAUCUCUUGCAAGUCCAGUGAGAGUGUCAAUAAAUUUGGCAUAAAUCUUAUGCAUUGGUAUCAAAAGAAACCAGGACAGCCCCCCAAACUCUUGAUCUAUAAUGAAGGUCAUCGAGAGUCAGGGGUCCCUGACAGGUUCAGUGGUUAUGAGGCUGAAUUAGACUUCACCCUCACCAUCCACCCUGUGGAAGCUGAUGAUGCUGCAACCUAUAUCUGUCAGCAAGGAAUAGAGCUUCCUCCCACAUUUGGAACAAAGACCAAAGUUGAGAGCAACACAAAGCUGUUGGAAUGGCCAUAG